UUGGGCAACGGUGCCAAAACACCUUUUUGGGAUUCCCCAUGGCUUCUUGGGCGGAAACCGAAGGACAUUGCCCCUUUGAUUUAUGAGGCCUCCACGCGCAAGAACUGGAAGGUGCGUGAGGCCCUCCAUGGAGAUGCUUGGAUUCUUAAGAUCGGUCGCAACACCAUCGUCUCCGGUGCCCACAUCCUCCAAUUCUUCACGUUAUGGAUGCUUGUGCAUGACCUACACUUGGAUCAACAAACUGACGAUGACAUUAUAUGGAAACACGCCAACGACGGGUCCUACUCCGCGGCCACCACCUACAAGGCUCAUUUUCUUGGACUGACACUUUCGCCCAUGGACUUUAUGAUCUGGAAGGCUUGGGCCCCUCCUAAGAUCAAGUUUUUUGCUUGGUUGGCUAUCCAAGACCGGAUUUGGACAGCCGACAGAUUGGAGCGGCGCAGUUGGCAAAACUGUGGACUUUGCCCGCUUUGCAAACGUGUUGGCGAGACGGGUGCACACCUCUUCUACAAAUGCCGCUACACCAUAAGGCUAUGGAACUCGGUCAUCCUUGAAUUUGGUCUAGCGCACAUGGACACCUCCUCUUGGCAUUUGGAUGGAUCCGUUUUGGAAUGGUGGGAAAAGCGAACCUGCUUGCAAAACCCAAACCGACGAGCCUUGGCCUCACUUACAAUGCUAGUCUCUUGGACGAUCUGGAACGAGCGUAAUGCUCGGGUCUUCCGACACAAGAGCGCACCGCCUCCGGUC
rnacentral:rRNA from 1 species